AAUCCAUAGGUUAAUGAGGCGAACCGGGGGAACUGAAACAUCUAAGUACCCCGAGGAAAAGAAAUCAACCGAGAUUCCCCCAGUAGCGGCGAGCGAACGGGGAGGAGCCCAGAGCCUGAAUCAGCAUGUGUGUUAGUGGAAGCGUCUGGAAAGGCGCGCGAUACAGGGUGACAGCCCCGUACACAAAAGCGCAUGUGCUGUGAGCUCGAUGAGUAGGGCGGGACACGUGGUAUCCUGUCUGAAUAUGGGGGGACCAUCCUCCAAGGCUAAAUACUCCUGACUGACCGAUAGUGAACCAGUACCGUGAGGGAAAGGCGAAAAGAACCCCGGCGAGGGGAGUGAAAAAGAACCUGAAACCGUGUACGUACAAGCAGUGGGAGCACCCUUCGGGGUGUGACUGCGUACCUUUUGUAUAAUGGGUCAGCGACUUAUAUUCUGUAGCAAGGUUAACCGUAUAGGGGAGCCGGAGGGAAACCGAGU
rnacentral:rRNA from 1 species